rnacentral:rRNA from 2 species
CAGGAUGAACGCUGGCGGCGUGCCUAAUACAUGCAAGUCGAGCGAACAGAUGAGAAGCUUGCUUCUCUGAUGUUAGCGGCGGACGGGUGAGUAACACGUGGGUAACCUACCUAUAAGACUGGGAUAACUCCGGGAAACCGGGGCUAAUACCGGAUAAUAUUUUGAACCGCAUGGUUCAAUAGUGAAAGACGGUUUCGGCUGUCACUUAUAGAUGGACCCGCGCCGUAUUAGCUAGUUGGUAAGGUAACGGCUUACCAAGGCGACGAUACGUAGCCGACCUGAGAGGGUGAUCGGCCACACUGGAACUGAGACACGGUCCAGACUCCUACGGGAGGCAGCAGUAGGGAAUCUUCCGCAAUGGGCGAAAGCCUGACGGAGCAACGCCGCGUGAGUGAUGAAGGUCUUCGGAUCGUAAAACUCUGUUGUUAGGGAAGAACAAAUUUGUUAGUAACUGAACAAGUCUUGACGGUACCUAACCAGAAAGCCACGGCUAACUACGUGCCAGCAGCCGCGGUAAUACGUAGGUGGCAAGCGUUAUCCGGAAUUAUUGGGCGUAAAGCGCGCGUAGGCGGUUUCUUAAGUCUGAUGUGAAAGCCCACGGCUCAACCGUGGAGGGUCAUUGGAAACUGGGAAACUUGAGUGCAGAAGAGGAGAGUGGAAUUCCAUGUGUAGCGGUGAAAUGCGCAGAGAUAUGGAGGAACACCAGUGGCGAAGGCGGCUCUCUGGUCUGUAACUGACGCUGAUGUGCGAAAGCGUGGGGAUCAAACAGGAUUAGAUACCCUGGUAGUCCACGCCGUAAACGAUGAGUGCUAAGUGUUAGGGGGUUUCCGCCCCUUAGUGCUGCAGCUAACGCAUUAAGCACUCCGCCUGGGGAGUACGACCGCAAGGUUGAAACUCAAAGGAAUUGACGGGGACCCGCACAAGCGGUGGAGCAUGUGGUUUAAUUCGAAGCAACGCGAAGAACCUUACCAAAUCUUGACAUCCUUUGACCGCUCUAGAGAUAGAGUCUUCCCCUUCGGGGGACAAAGUGACAGGUGGUGCAUGGUUGUCGUCAGCUCGUGUCGUGAGAUGUUGGGUUAAGUCCCGCAACGAGCGCAACCCUUAAGCUUAGUUGCCAUCAUUAAGUUGGGCACUCUAGGUUGACUGCCGGUGACAAACCGGAGGAAGGUGGGGAUGACGUCAAAUCAUCAUGCCCCUUAUGAUUUGGGCUACACACGUGCUACAAUGGAUAAUACAAAGGGCAGCGAAUCCGCGAGGCCAAGCAAAUCCCAUAAAAUUAUUCUCAGUUCGGAUUGUAGUCUGCAACUCGACUACAUGAAGCUGGAAUCGCUAGUAAUCGUAGAUCAGCAUGCUACGGUGAAUACGUUCCCGGGUCUUGUACACACCGCCCGUCACACCACGAGAGUUUGUAACACCCGAAGCCGGUGGAGUAACCUUUUAG